GGUGGCGGAAUUGGUAGACGCACUAGGUUCAGGUCCUAGCGGUGGCAACACCGUGGAAGUUCGAGUCUUCUCCUNNNA
rnacentral:tRNA from 1 species